UCGAGUAACGAGUUCACUCCAGUUUUUGGUGAUGACAAUUACAAACAGUUGGGGGAAAACAAUUGCUCUGCAUUGAACUCUAAUCAAUGCUCACCUUCUGUAUCUGAUAUUCAUUGCAAAAAAUGAAGUUAUUAGUCUGUUUUUCUGUUUGAGUUCAAAUUAUAUUUUCUGUUUUUGUCAUACAGUUAUUAGUUAACUCCUGAUAUAUUCUUUCCACUGCCUAUGCCUGUUUUCAUUCACUGUUACUGGCUUCGAAUUCAGGUAUGUUAGCAGCGAAGUUAUAACGAUCAGGUUGCGUUCUGGGCCUAAUAUCUGUGUUGUUGCUCUGCUAUGAAAUAUUAGGGGUUGGAGAUUGAAGGGGAGUUGCCUGAGAAAAAGACUUGUUAUGAAGGAGUAUUUUAUAAUUACUUUAGCAUAGGAAUGGAUGCUCAGGUGGCUUAAGACUUUCAUCAUUUAUGUAAUGAGAAACCUUACCUGGC